CCAGGGCGGCCCCGCUGCUUCCAUCCAAGGUCGUGGCCCAACGCGAGCUCUGGAAAGUUCAGCUGGGAGCCGAGGGAUACCAGGGGGCAAGGAGUUAAUAUGGCCAGAUCAUCUCAUUUUUAAAGAGAAGCUGUCCAUCAGAUAUGUUAACAUUACUUGGUGAUGAGAUGUGGAAUCCAGAGAGGACCCCCAACAGCUCCAAGCCUGGUGAGCAAACUGGUGCUAGUACCCGAGGACCAGUUGGACUCACUGCUUUCUCACUGACCCUGGAAU